GUGGAAGGAGCGAGGGCAGUCAUCACACAUCACCAACUUGUCUUCGUCUUCCCUUCUACAGACGCCACACUCGUCAUCGUUCUUCUGAUUCUCCUGCCGGGACAGACACACGACAGCAAGUCUGGCGACACGACUCCACGGGGACCGUUUAACAUCGGCGAAACAUCAGCUCCGGUCGACAGCACGUUGCCGAUGCAGAACGUGACCUUCCUGCAGCGAAAGAAACAAAACAGAAAAUGAACGGCGCACCCGACAAAUCCACGUCCCGAGGCACACGUUGAAGUAACAGUCUGAGAUUCACUCUCAUAUUUGAACAUUUGAUUCAGUCAUUAUUUGUUGGUGUAAAUAAACUGAACAAAUAAAUAAAUGAAAAAUGCAAACCUGAA